rnacentral:rRNA from 1 species
AUUGAACGCUGGCGGCAGGCCUAACACAUGCAAGUCGAACGAGAGGCGGACGGGUGAGUAAUGUCUGGGAAACUGCCCGAUGGAGGGGGAUAACUACUGGAAACGGUAGCUAAUCCCGCAUACCAUCGGAUGUGCCCAGAUGGGAUUAGCUAUUAGGUGGGGUACCGGCUCACCUAGGCGACGAUCUCUAGCUGGUCUGAGGGGAGGACCAGCCACACUGGAACUGAUACACGGUCCAGACUACCACGCGAGGCAGCAGGGGGGAAUAUGGCACACUUGGGGCAAGCCGGAUGCAUCCAUGCCGCGUGUAUGAAGAAGGCCUUCGGGUUGUAAAGUACUUUCAGCGAGGAAGCGUUACUCGCAGAAGAACCAUCGGCUAACUCCGUGCCAGCAGCCGCGGUAAUAC